rnacentral:lncRNA from 1 species
CAGCAACAGAAGAACUGCAGAGGCAAGAAGACGAGCAAAAAUGAGGCGUGGCGUGCUUCAGUUCGGCAGAUCUGAGAGAAUGAUUGACGUGAGGAUCUGGCGUAAAAGGAGGCGGGGCGAGCAAUGAUGCAAAUCAUGUUAUGUUGAUGUAGAUUCUCGCGGUCUCAGCACACGCGAAGCCGCUGCUCCAGCUGAUCGAGAAGUGCUGAGGACAACGUAAGCCAGAUCCAUCUCGUUGAGAUUGUGUGUAUCCAUGCAUGUUUGAAGAGGUUUGGGAUCAGAAUGGAUGUGGAGGAGACUGGAGCAGGUCAGAUGGAGGCAGCGGCCGCAGAGGAAGAGGUACCAGCUCCCAAACGCGGGAGAGGACGACCUCGCAAACAACCACAGGAGCCUGUUGAAACCUCUGCUCCCAGGAGGCCGAGAGGAAGGCCGAGAGGCAGUAAAAAUAAAGGCCAGCGGGUCACAGCCAAAGUAGAGCAACCUAGAGUACGGAGACCUCGAGGUAGACCAAGAAAAUGGCCUCAGAAGACCAUUCAUCAGGAAGAACAGCAGCCUCAUCCUGCGGUUCAAGGGAUGGAGUCAACAGAGGAGCCCCCCAUUCAGACUCUGCCCACUGAGCUACCAUCGCAGGAGAGUGACUAAAACUACCUCAGUGUUGACUUUGAUACUACGUCAGGGGUAAAUCUCAAUGCCUCCAUGUACACUGUAAAGAGUGAAUAUGUGCCAGUGCUCAAAUUGCGCCCAAAAUUGAGGACUCGCUUUGUGCCCUGGGCAAGAUCAGACUACAUUUGUCAAAAGUGACCCUAAAAUCUGUAUACUUCCAUCACAAGUCUUUAUGGUGAACACCUGUCUGCAAGUUGUACUGCCAUUUUAAGAACUGAAAAUAAUGUCUUCUCUUUAUUAUGUGGAUUCUUAAUGUAACGGUUUACCCAAAAAUGAAAAAUUAGCUGAAAAUGUACUCAUCCUCAGGUCUUCCAAGAUGUAGAUGAGUUUGUUUCUUCAUCAGAAGAGUCCAAACAGCUGAUAAAAAAACAUCACAAUAAUCCACAAGUAAUCCACACCACUCCAGUCCAUCAGUUAACAUCUUGUGAAGUGAAAAGCUGCAUGUUUGUAAGAAACAAAUCCAUCAUUAUGAUGUUUUAACUUUAAACUGUCGCUUCUGGCAAAAAGAUGAGUCCAUAAUCCACAAUAACGCUUCCUCCAGUGGAAAAGUUCAUCUUCUGUUGUCUUCUCGCAUCAAAAUACAAUAACAUAUUUGUUUAGAUCUGUUUUGGACUGUUUUUUAUGCUUGUAAGCGGUGACGUUAAAAUGCCUCAAUUAUGGAUUUGCUUCUUACAAACAUGCAGCUUUUGGCUUCACAAGACAUUAAUUGAUGGACUGGAUUGGUGUGGAUUACUUGUGGAUUAUAGUGAUGUUUUUAUCAGCUGUUUGGACUCUCAUUCUGACGGCACCCAUUCACUGCAGAGGAUCCACUUGUUAGCAAGAGAUAUAAUGCUACAUUUCUCCAAAUCUGUUCUGAUGAAGAAACAAACUCAUCUACAUCUUGGAUGUCCUGAAGGUGUGUAAAUGUUCAGAUAAUUUUCAUUUUUGGGUAAACUAUUCCUUUAAAGUCAACUAGAAAUAAAAUUUGAACUUAAAACACUUUUAUUGUGCAUAAUUUGACGGCCAGACUUAAUGUUCCAGAUGUUGGGAUUACAAAGAAAUUAAAAAAUCCAAAGAUAAUAACAUUUAGAAACUGUAAUAUGGAUCACCGUGUAUGGAUGAUGCCUGGUUAUAUUAGGUUUAUUUAAUCUUCUCAGGAUUCUGGAAACAUUAUAUUGCCAAAGCUUGAAAUGUACUCCUCAAUCAAAUGUUGCAACUUUUUAAAUGAUUGAUUUUAAUGUAUAAUGUUCUUUUUCUUGUUUUAUUUUAAUGUUUACAAUGGAAAGAACAGAUUCAAACGUGUCUGUUUACACCAAAUGAGAAUAAUGACUUUAUUAAUUAUGUAAAACAACAAUCAUUAUAAUUCACAACAUGAUGAUGGUGAAAUUCAGUACCUCAAUGAUUUUGUUUGCUCGUUCUAGACAAUGGAUGAUUUGUCAUUUGUUUUUAAAUGCAUAUGUGACCCUGGACCACAAAACCAGUCUGUUUUUUAAAAUUGAGAUUUAUACAUCGUCUGAAAGCUGAAUAAAUAAGCUUUCCAUUGAUGAAUCUGGAAUCUGAGGGUGCAACAAAAUCUAAAUAUUGAGAAAAUCGCCUUUAAAGUUGUCCAAAUUAAGUUCUUAGCAAUGCGUUACUAAUCAAAAAUUAAGUUUUAAUAUAUUUACAGUAGGAAAUUUACAAAAGAACUUAAUGGAACAUGAUCUUUACUUAAUAUCCUAAUGAUUUUUGGCAUAAAAGAAAAAUCGAUAAUUUUGGCCCAUACAAUGUAUUUUUGGCUAUUGCUACAAAUAUACCCCAGCAACUUAAGACUGCUUUUGUGCUCCAGGGUCACAUAUAUUGUCAAUGGCCAGUCUCUGGAACAGGAUAACAUUUUUGGCACUAUAUUUUCAUAAUUAGUAUAUAUAUAUAUUUUUUUUUUUAAUCAUCCAGUCUAAUUUUUACUGCUAUGAAUUGUCAUUGCGCUGGUAUGCGGAUGAUGUUUACAACAUGACUGAUGUUUAAAGCUUCUCCUAUUGUCAAUACAGUUGUGUUGUGUUAAAUAUUACAGUUCAGAUAAAGUAGAUGCAUUUAAAAACAGGUAUAAUGGUACCAAAAUAUUGUUCAAAAAAGAUCCUUUUUCUGAUCAGGAAGUUUUUGAUGUGAAGUCAAUCGAGCAAUGUUCAAAUACAUCAUGGUAUAUAGUGUCAGCUAAGUCGUUUACGUAUUAAAACAUUUGACGAUGUGCCUCAGGUAACAUACCUCUUUUUUAUAUCUUUCAAAGGCCAGUAAUGCUUUUUAUGCAGCUGUAUGUCAGUGAAUAAAGUUCCUGUUUGAGACACGUUUACGUGAUCCAUCAGUUAUUGUCUUUAUUGCAUUUAUC